GACGAACGCUGGCGGCGUGCCUAAUACAUGCAAGUAGAACGCUGAAGGAGGAGCUUGCUUCUCUGGAUGAGUUGCGAACGGGUGAGUAACGCGUAGGUAACCUGCCUGGUAGGGGGGGAUAACUAUUGGAAACGAUAGCUAAUACCGCAUAAGAGUAGAUGUUGCAGGACAUUUGCUUAAAAGGUGCAAUUGAAUCACUACCAGAUGGACCUGCGUUGUAUUAGCGAGUUGGUGGGGUAACGGCGCACCAAGGCGACGAUACAUAGCCGACCUGAGAGGGUGGUCGGCCACACUUGGACUGAGACCCCGCCCCGACCCCUUCGGGAGGCAGCCGUAGGGGAUCUUCGGCAAUGGACGGAAGUCUGACCGAGCCACGCCGCGUGAGUGGAGAAGGGUUUCGGAUCGUAAAGCCCUGUUGUAAGGGAAGAACGGGUGUGAGAGUGGAACGUUCACACUGUGACGGUAUCUUAACAGAAAGCGACGGCUAACUACGUG
rnacentral:rRNA from 1 species